AUGAAGAACGCAGCGAAAUGCGAAAAGUAAUGUGAAUUGCAGAAUUCAGUGAAUCAUCGAAUCUUUGAACGCACAUUGCGCCCGCUGGUACUCCGGCGGGCACGCCUGUCCGAGCGUCAUUUCAACCCUCAAGCCCUCCUUCGGGAUGGGCCUGGUGUUGGGGCUCGGCCGCCAUCUCCGGCGGCCGUCCCCUAAAUACAGUGGCGGUCACGUCGCGACUCCUUUGCGUAGUAGAAACACCUCGCUCCGGAUAGCAACGCGGUCCACGCCGUAAAACCCCCAAUUUUCAAUGGUUGACCUCGGAUCAGGUGGGAAUACCCGCUGAACUUAAGCAUAUCAAUAAGCGGAGGA
rnacentral:misc_RNA from 1 species